GAUCUGAGGGAAAGCCCGUUGCCUUUUGCCUUGACCCGGCGAGUUAUUGUAUUAUGCAAGGUUAAGUCGAACAGAUGGAGCCGAAGCGAAAGCAAGUCUGAAUAGGGCGCUUUAGUAUGAUGCAAUAGACCCGAAACCGAGUGAUCUAGCCAUGAGCAGGUUGAAGUUGGGGUAAGACCCAAUGGAGGACCGAACCGAUAUGCCCGGAAACGCGUACGGAUGACUUGUGGUUAGCGGAGAAAUUCCAAACGAACUCGGAGAUAGCUGGUUCUCCCCGAAAUAGGUUUAGGCCUAGCCUUGAUUGAAUCUGCCCGGAGGUAGAGCACUGAAUGUGCGAUGGCGUCGUCUAGAUGUACUGAGUACAAUCAAACUCCGAAUGCUGGGUAGUACUAAUCAGGAGUCACUGUAUGGGUGAUAACGUCCAUACGGGAGAGGAAAAGAAUCCGGAUCGCCAGCUAAGGUCCCAAAAUUUGUGUUAAGUGGGAAAGGAUGUAGAGUUGUCAAAACAGCUAGGAGGUUGGCUUAGAAGCAGCCACCCUUUAAAGAGUGCGUAAUAGCUCACUAGUCGAGUGACACUGCGCCGAAGAUGUACCGGGGCUAAACACAAUACCGAAGCUGCGGACUUGUACUUAUGUGCAAGUGGUAGGGGAGCGUUCUAAGGGCUGUGAAGGUAGACCGUAAGGACUGCUGGAGCGUUUAGAAGUGAGAAUGCCGGUGUGAGUAACGAAAAUUGGGUGAGAAUCCCAUUCACCGUUUGACUAAGGUUUCCUGGGUAAAGUUCGUCUUCCCAGGGUUAGUCAGGACCUAAGAUGAGGCUGAAAAGCGUAGUCGAUGGACAACAGGUUUAUAUUCCUGUACCACCUAUGUAACUGAUGAAGUGACGGAGAAAGCUAAUGAGAGCCAGUUAUUGGAUUCUGGUCUAAGUGCGUAGGCUAGUAUGUUGGGAAAUCCGCAAUACUAUUACAGCUGAAACAUGAUGGGGAAGUGAUCCUUCGGGUGAGCAAACUUUCAUGAUGCUACGCUUCCAAGAAAAGCUUCUAGGGCUAAUUGCAUAGGUGCCUGUACCGACAACCGACACAGGUGGUCAAGGAGAGAAUCCUAAGGUGAGCGAGAGAACUAUGGUUAAGGAACUCGGCAAAAUGACCCCGUAACUUCGGGAGAAGGGGUGGUCUAGCGAUAGACCCGCAGUGAAUAGGCCCAGGCAACUGUUUACCAAAAACACAGGUCUCUGCUAACACGUAAGUGGAUGUAUAGGGGCUGACGCCUGCCCAGUGCUGGAAGGUUAAAGAGAUUAGUUAGUAUGACGCAAGUCGAUAAUACGAAGCUUUGAACUGAAGCCCCAGUGAACGGCGGCCGUAACUAUAACGGUCCUAAGGUAGCGAAAUUCCUUGUCAGGUAAGUUCUGACCCGCACGAAAGGCGUAAUGAUCUGGGUACUGUCUCAACCAUAGACUCGGUGAAAUCUUAAUACCUGUGAAAAUGCAGGUUACCCGCGACUGGACGGAAAGACCCCGUGGAGCUUUACUGUAGCUUGAUAUUGGAAUUCGGUAAACUAUGUAGAGCAUAGGUGGGAGACUAUGAGACUAAGGCGCCAGCCUUAGAGGAGUCACCAUUGGAAUACCACCCUUAGUUUAUUGGAUUUCUAACCUAGAGCCAUUAUCUGGUUCAGGGACAGUGUCUGGUGGGCAGUUUGACUGGGGCGGUCGCCUCCUAAAAUGUAACGGAGGCGUUCAAAGGUUCCCUCAGAAUGGUUGGAAAUCAUUCAAAGAGCGUAAAGGUAUAUAGGGAGCUUGACUGCGAGACCUACAAGUCAAGCAGGUGCGAAAGCAGGACUUAGUGAUCAGGCGAUUCAGAAUGGAAUGGUCGUCGCUUAACGGAUAAAAGUUACCCCGGGGAUAACAGGCUGAUACCACCCAAUAGUUCACAUAGACGGUGGUGUUUGGCACCUCGAUGUCGGCUCGUCAUAUCCUGGAGGUGGAGUCGCUUCCAAGGGUUGGGCUGUUCGCCCAUUAAAAUGGCACGCGAGCUGGG
rnacentral:rRNA from 1 species